UGGUGUUGGUGGCUGUCAGGGUGGUGGUGUUGGUGGCUGUCAGGGUGGUGGUGUUGGUGGCUGUCAGGGUGGUGGUGUUGGUGGCUGUCAGGGCGGUGGUGUUGGUGGCUGUCAGGGUGGUGGUGUUGGUGGCUGUCAGGGUGGUGGUGUUGGUGGCUGUCAGGGUGGUGGUGUUGGUGGCUGUCAGGGUGGUGGUGUUGGUGGCUGUCAGGGUGGUGGUGUUGGUGGCUGUCAGGGUGGUGGUGUUGGUGGCUGUCAGGGUGGUGGUGUUGGUGGCUGUCAGGGUGGUGGUGUUGGUGGCUGUCAGGGUGGUGGUGUUGGUGGCUGUCAGGGUGGUGGUGUUGGUGGCUGUCAGGGUGGUGGUGUUGGUGGCUGUCAGGGUGGUGGUGUUGGUGGCUGUCAGGGUGGUGGUGUUGGUGGCUGUCAGGGCGGUGGUGUUGGUGGCUGUCAGGGUGGUGGUGUUGGUGGCUGUCAGGGUGGUGGUGUUGGUGGCUGUCAGGGUGGUGGUGUUGGUGGCUGUCAGGGUGGUGGUGUUGGUGGCUGUCAGGGCGGUGGUGUUGGUGGCUGUCAGGGCGGUGGUGUCGUCAACAUUCAUCAUGCUGUCUCCACCCUGAACAACCUGACCUUGUCCAAACAUUGUGACACUAAACAGAGCAGCAAUUGCACCAUAUAUUACAUACACCUCAGUAUACCUGCAUAUUAGUGCCUUACAAACCAUCACCAAACAAGUUAUGCAAAGACAAAGUAUGCAUGUAUGCUAUUGCAUAACAUUUGUGUCAGUAGAAGAAUUCAAUUAAAUGAGCCUUUAGUAAAAGAUUGAAAACAUGGAAAAUGAUGCCUACAGGGGAAAUGAAGACACAGGAACCAACCAACAACACUGUCUAUGAAAAGACAUUGUCAAUCAGACCCCUUCGUCGAGCCUGCCCUGUGUCUUCAUUUCCCCUGUAGGC